rnacentral:rRNA from 1 species
AUCUCCGGCCAUGCCACUCUGAACGAGUCCGAUCCCAUUUGAUCUCAGAAGCUAAGGAGGGUCGGGCCUGGUUAGCACUUGAAUGGAGGACCACCUAGGAAUACCAACUAGAUGCUGUAGGCG